rnacentral:rRNA from 1 species
UACGGAGGGUGCGAGCGUUAUCCGGAAUUACUGGGUUUAAAGGGUGCGUAGGUGGCGCCGUAAGUGGGGUGUGAAAUUUCGGAGCUUAACUCCGAAACUGCAUUCCAUACUGCGGUGCUUGAGGACUGGAGAGGAGACUGGAAUUUACGGUGUAGCAGUGAAAUGCGUAGAGAUCGUAAGGAAGACCAGUGGCGAAGGCGGGUCUCUGGACAGUUCCUGACACUGAGGCACGAAGGCCAGGGGAGCAAACGGG